rnacentral:rRNA from 1 species
UUCCAGACUCCUACGGGAGGCAGCAGUGAGGAAUAUUGGUCAAUGGCCGAAGGGCUGAACCAGCCAAGCCGCGUGAAGGAAUAAGGCCCUACGGGUCGUAAACUUCUUUAGUCAGGGAACAAAGGGUGCCACGCGUGGCGCUGUGAGUGUACCUGAAGAAUAAGCAUCGGCUAACUCCGUGCCAGCAGCCGCGGUAAUACGGAGGAUGCGAGCGUUAUCCGGAUUUAUUGGGUUUAAAGGGUGCGUAGGCGGUUUUUUAAGUUAGUGGUUAAACGUCGGGGCUUCACCUUGAUUUGCCAUUAAUACUGUAAGACUCGAGUUCAUACGAGGUAGGCGGAAUAAGUUAAGUAGCGGUGAAAUGCUUAGAUAUAACUUAGAACUCCGAUAGCGAAGGCAGCUUACCAGACUGCGACUGACGCUGAAGCACGAGAGCGUGGGUAGCGAACAGGAUUAGAUACCCGUGUAC